rnacentral:lncRNA from 1 species
GCGCGCGGCCGGCGGCAGUCGGCAAACCGCCCGGGCGGGCGCCACACGACCGGAGUCUGCGCAAGCGACAGGCGAUGCGACUUGUAGAUAUUUCAGUGAAAUAAUAACGUAUCCGCCAACGAACAGGAACACGCAAGCGCAAGAUUCUGUGAAUCCAAUACGAGUAAAGUAAACGAGUCUCGUGUGCAGGGGACGAAGACUGGCGGCGCACAACGAGAGAGCGAUAAGGGGGCA